rnacentral:rRNA from 1 species
AUUGAACGCUGGCGGAAUGCUUUACACAUGCAAGUCGAACGGCAGCACGGACUUCGGUCUGGUGGCGAGUGGCGAACGGGUGAGUAAUAUAUCGGAACGUGCCCAGUCGUGGGGGAUAACGUAGCGAAAGCUACGCUAAUACCGCAUACGAUCUACGGAUGAAAGCGGGGGAUCGCAAGACCUCGCGCGACUGGAGCGGCCGAUAUCAGAUUAGGUGGUUGGUGAGGUAAAGGCUCACCAAGCCGACGAUCUGUAGCUGGCCUGAGAGGACGACCAGCCACACGGGGACUGAGAAAGGGCCCAGACUCCUACGGGAGGCAGCAGUGGGGAAUUUUGGACAAUGGACGCAAGUCUGAUCCAGCCAUUCCGCGUGCAGGACGAAGGCCUUCGGGUUGUAAACUGCUUUUGUACAGAACGAAAAGGUCUCUAUUAAUACUAGGGGCUCAUGACGGUACUGUAAGAAUAAGCACCGGCUAACUACGUGCCAGCCGCCGCGGUAA